rnacentral:lncRNA from 1 species
AGGUGAACCCCGGGCGGAAGGGCGUGGGCGUCAAUCUCAGGUCCAUUGGCAAGAACUGCAACCCGGUGGAUCUCAAGUUCACUGGCAAGGCCGCCUACGACGUCUAAGAUCUCAUUUCUAGUUCUCCGUGUAAACCAUGAAACUUUAAAAGCAGUCCACUCGUCGAACAUGGGCCUUGCAUCUCUCACCUCUGAGUAAAUGGAUCUCGAUCGAGCUGUGUAAAUCUAUCUUCUCUUCGUUCCAUCUUUUCUUCAUUUUUUAAGUAAUGUUUAUGAUAACAAAGAACGCAAGUUUGAAAAGCUUGUACUGCAUGUGGUGGUGUUCUCAGGUAUGAAAAGUUUGUUCACCUCAGUAUCUACUGCAGCUAGGUAGACCCUUCAGUCUUGCCUUUGUCCAUUGCCUUUGAACCUACAUAUAAACAUACACUUUAAAUCAUAUUGAAAACUAUAUAUUGAUUAGUGUAUGACUCUUCAUAGCCUUUCAUCUCUUCUUGUACAAGAUUCUUGUGUAGAAUCACAUAUAUUACAUAUGAAACUUUUAAAAUCAUG